AUCCCUGGAGCGCAAUGGAUAGCGCGUUGGACUUCUAAUCCAAAGGUCGACAUUUGAAUCCCCCCUGGGAUG